UCUUCAUUCCCAUACUCUCUGAUCGGUCAGAGAGGCGAGAGAGUGUGUGAAAUGAAGAGA
rnacentral:pre_miRNA from 1 species